UACGUAGGGUGCGAGCGUUGUCCGGAAUUAUUGGGCGUAAAGAGCUCGUAGGCGGUGUGUCGCGUCGGCCGUGAAAACCUGGGGCUCAACUCUGGGCGUGCGGUCGAUACGGGCAUCACUUGAGUUCGGCAGGGGAGACUGGAAUUCCUGGUGUAGCGGUGAAAUGCGCAGAUAUCAGGAGGAACACCGGUGGCGAAGGCGGGUCUCUGGGGCCGAUACUGACGCUGAGGAGCGGAAAGCAUGGGUAGCGAACAGG
rnacentral:rRNA from 1 species